rnacentral:ncRNA from 1 species
CAAAGGUUUGGUCCUAGCCUUACUAUUAGCCUUAGCUCAAAUUACACAUGCAAGUCUCCGCAGCCCCGUGAGGAUGCCCCCAACUUCCCACCCGGAAAUAGGGAGCCGGCAUCAGGCACAAUUCAUGAAGCCCAAGACGCCUUGCUCAGCCACGCCCCCAAGGGAAUUCAGCAGUGACAAACAUUAAGCCAUAAGCGAAAGCUUGACUUAGUCAGAGCUACUUAGGGUCGGUUAAACUCGUGCCAGCCACCGCGGUUAUACGAGAGACCCUAGUUAAUAAAAACGGCGUAAAGAGUGGUUAUGGAGUUUUUUUAUAAAGUGGAAUACCCCCUAAACUGUUAUACGCACCCAGGGGUCAGAACUUCUUUCACGAAAGUAACUUUAUUAAUGCCCACCAGAAUCCACGAAAGCCGGGGUACAAACUGGGAUUAGAUACCCCACUAUGCCCGGCCGUAAACUUAGAUGCUCCUGUACAAUUAGCAUCCGCCAGGGAACUACGAGCACUAGCUUAAAACCCAAAGGACUUGGCGGUGCCUCAGACCCCCCUAGAGGAGCCUGUUCUAGAACCGAUAAUCCCCGUUUAACCUCACCACCCCUUGCCCCUUCCGCCUAUAUACCACCGUCGCCAGCUUACCCUGUGAAGGAAUUAGUAAGCAAAAUGGAAAUUUUCCAGAACGUCAGGUCGAGGUGUAGCACACGGAGUGGGAAGAAAUGGGCUACAUUGCCUAAUAUAGACUACUACGGAAAGUCGCCUGAAAGGGCUAUUUUAAGGUGGAUUUAGCAGUAAAAGGGGAAUAGAGUGCCCCUUUGAAUUCGGCUCUGAGGCGCGCACACACCGCCCGUCACUCUCCCCAACAAUUUUUCUUUAGGUAAUUAACCCUUUCUACUUCACAAGGGGAGGCAAGUCGUAACAUGGUAAGUGUACCGGAAGGUGCACUUGGAAUAAC